UGAGCUUGAUCCUGGCUCAGGAUGAACGCUAGCGGCAGGCUUAACACAUGCAAGUCGAGGGGUAUAGUUCUUCGGAACUAGAGACCGGCGCACGGGUGCGUAACGCGUAUGCAAUCUACCUUUUACAGAGGGAUAGCCCAGAGAAAUUUGGAUUAAUACCUCAUAGUAUAUAGCCCUGGCAUCAGGAUUAUAUUAAAGUCACAACGGUAAAAGAUGAGCAUGCGUCCCAUUAGCUAGUUGGUAAGGUAACGGCUUACCAAGGCUACGAUGGGUAGGGGUCCUGAGAGGGAGAUCCCCCACACUGGUACUGAGACACGGACCAGACUCCUACGGGAGGCAGCAGUGAGGAAUAUUGGACAAUGGGCGCAAGCCUGAUCCAGCCAUGCCGCGUGCAGGAUGACGGUCCUAUGGAUUGUAAACUGCUUUUAUACGAGAAGAAACAUCCCGACGUGUCGGGACUGACGGUAUC
rnacentral:rRNA from 1 species